rnacentral:rRNA from 2 species
GGAUCAAUAUGUUGGUCGUGCCUUGGUACGUACUGGCGUCAUUGGUUUCUACCUUCUGAAGAACCUCGAUGUCAUUAAUUUGGUGUCUUGGGGAAUCAGGACUGUUACUUUGAAAAAAUUAGAGUGUUUAAAGCAGGCUCACGCUUGAAUACAUUAGCAUGGAAUAAUGAAAUAGGACGUUUGAUUCUAUUUUGUUGGUUUCUAGGAUCGACGUA